rnacentral:rRNA from 1 species
GGGGGGUGCGAGCGUUGUCCGGAAUCACUGGGCGUAAAGGGCGCGUAGGUGGUUUGAUAAGGGUGUGGUGAAAGCCCGGGGCUCAACCCCGGGUCUGCCGUGCCGACUGUUAAACUCGAGGGCUGUAGAGGCAGACGGAAUUCCGGGUGUAGCGGUGGAAUGCGUAGAGAUCCGGAGGAAGACCGGUGGCGAAGGCGGUCUGCUGGGCAGUUUCUGACACUGAUGCGCGACAGCGUGGGGAGCAAACAGGAUUAGAUACCCUGGUAGUCCACGCCGUAAACGAUGGGUACUAGGUGCCUGGGGGAGCGACCCUCUGGGUGCCGGCGCUAACGCAGGAAGUACCCCGCCUGGGGGGUACGACCGCAAGGUUG